rnacentral:lncRNA from 1 species
CUGGAACAGCCUCGAGUGCGACGACGCCACCGUUAACCGCCGCGUCAUCUCCCUAACCAUAUUCUCCGCUCAGAUCUCCGGUCAGAUCCCUCCUGAAGUCGGUGACUUACCGUAUCUUCAGAAGCUUGUCUUCCGCAAAAUCACUAACCUCACCGGUCAGAUACCACACACCAUCACCAAGCUCAAGUAUCUCCGUUUUCUCAGGCUUAGCUGGACGAACCUUACCGGCCCGGUUCCUGAGUUUUUGAGUCAGCUCAUGGAUCUUGCCUACUUAAACCUUUCCUUCAAUUAUUUUUCUGGUUCCAUACCUAGCUCUCUCUCCUUGUUACCUAAACUUUCGUACGUUGAUCUUAGUCGGAAUAAGCUUACAGGUGAAUAAAUAUUUUAUCUCUAUUAAAAACUGAUUAUUAAAAAAAUUGAUUAUUAAUUAAACUGCUAUUUAUCUAACCACAACCUUUUAAUUUUCACUUAGGUACAAUACCAGAGUCAUUUGGAUCGUUUUCAGGAGAAGUCCCUGACCUUUUCCUAUCACAUAACCAGCUCUCCGGUUCUAUACCUAAAUCACUAGGCAACCUGGAUUUUAACCGGAUCGAUUUCUCAAGGAACAGGUUCAUAGGCGAUGCUUCGAUGUUGUUUGGAGCCAAUAAAACGACAUUUUCUAUUGAUUUAUCAAGAAACAUGUUCCAGUUCGAUCUCUCCCGUGUUGAGAUCCCUAAGACAUUUGGUAUCUUAGACUUGAAUCACAAUGGGAUCACAGGGAGUAUCCCGGUUCAGUGGACUGAAACUCCUUUCCAAAUCUUCAAUGUUAGCUACAACAGAUUGUGUGGACGCAUCCCCACUGGAGGGAAACUGCAGAUGUUUGAUUCUUAUGCAUAUUUUCACAAUAAGUGUUUAUGUGGUGCACCACUUGAUAGUUGCAAGUAAAGAUUCAAGCAGCCAAGCGUAUUACUAUUCUACUUUACCAAAAUAAUCCAAUAAGUCUAUAGACAACUGUAUGUUUUAUUUGGAUUGACUGAUUAAAAAAUCAACCAAACUUGCUUCAAAAUAUUUGUAAUACAAUCUUCCAGUUUGAAUCACAAUCAGCAUGUUAGACACAUUUAAAUGAAGAUCAAUCGCAAAGGUUCUUGUUAAUUAGAGGUUGUUGUAAAUAUCCUUUUUUUUUUUUUUGUAACACGAACUUAUAUUAAAAGUUCAAUGAGCAUAAAAGUCUACAACUGAAACAGAGGAUCCCAGAGCAUGCUCAAACGGUACAACGAAAAUAGAAAGCAUUACUAAACAUGGAAAGAUAUACCCUAUAAGAGGCGAGUCAAGCUCAACAAGAUGAAGAACCCCAUGGAGAAACUUCACCUUAAUCUCUAAGGCGAUUGUUCGACAUAACAAUUGAUAGUCGAAGACGACGUUGAAACACCAAUAAGAAGUGGAUGGACUGUUGACCAGCAAGAGCUUUUGGUGAGAAGCUCUAAAACCAUAGGCAACACCAAGAAAAUGAAGCCCUAUCUGACUUGAUUUGAAAAUGAAGCAAGCGCGAUCAGUUCUAAACUCAACAAAGCUUAUCAACGAGACUAGGUGAAUCUCAAAUGCUAGUUUAGCCUUCAUACGGACGUUUAGGACAAUGGAGUUGGAUGACGGAUUGAACGGUUUGAUCGGGUCAAAAUCUUAGACCUCAACAUUACCGUGUUGAAGCCAAUAACUUGUAACCAGAAUAGACCUGAGCAUGUAGUCAUCGCACUCGUUCUGCUUGAGCGUGUUGUUGUAAAUAUCCAUUAUCCACUUUUACGGCCAAACUUGUUGGUAUUCCGUUUCCGUUCGACAAUGGCAUAAAACAUUAAAUCAUAACCAUGUAGUAUAUAUGCAUGAUUUGACCAAGUGUAUAUAUCUGAAUCCGAAUGCUGACGUGUCAAUAAUAUUAUAUUACUAUAAACCACUAGACUAAGCUUGAUUAAAAGUUCUAGAUGUCGUUGUGUCGACCCCUAGACUAUACCCGUUAAUUGGUAAUUAUCUUAUUAUUAUUUAGUACUAAAAAGACAGUAGUAUAUUUUAGUAUAUAUUUUUUGAAUGAAUGUAAGACAAUAUUCAAACAAAAAUACUGGGUAACGUGCUUCUGUUUCCGAAAGGUGUUUUUAACUUCUAAAUAGAGAAAGAAUGAAGAAGAAAAGAAUGUAAAGAAUUAAUGAUUUAGGUGCCUAUUCUUGAGCCAAACCUUAUUGCUAUCCCAUCUGCAUAUGUUCUGUUUCCUUCUGUUUCUGAUAGUCCUACAGAUGCGUUUCUAGUUUGAUAGGUGGAGAAGGAGCUCCAUGCUUCUGACUGUUUCUCUCACGCCAGAUGUUAUAUACAUGUGCUCAGAGGCGUGCCUACAGUGUAUUGAAAAAGGCAUUCGCUUUCCCUAAAUAAUAUUACGUUUUCUAGGGCCCCAAAAUUUAAAAUAAUUUCUAGUUAAGUUGCUUAAACUUAUUUUUUUUUUAAAAACUAUCCACGAGAAUCGAAUAACUCAAUUUCUAAAUCCAUAUACAUUUUUUAUAGGACAUAAUAUAGCAUAUUUACGUAAUAAGUGUUAAACUUAUGUAUUUCGCGAAUGUGAUAUAUCAUAUUAAAAAAUUGUUUUUUUUAUAGUUGUAUAUAAAUUUAUUUUUAAAACUUGACUUAGGCUCCUGAAAUCCUUCGCACGGCACUGCAUGUGCUUUUCUAGUCAUAUUUUAGUGUCAUGAAAUAGUUUAGAUGCUAUUUUCUUAUUGGUGCAUCUCAUUUUUCAAAUCCUGUUUUGAAUUAUAUAAUUUUUUUUCUGAAAAGAUCAAAAUAGAAGCCUUGGUUGAGAAAGUAGUAGUACUCAAGUGGCACAUGUUGACUCCCAGCAUUUUGACACCAGCCAACCAUAUUCUCCACCGACAUCUUAUCACACCUAUUGACUAUUAAGGUUUUUCUAUCAAAUCAAAUAUCUAAUCUCGAUAGUGUAUAUAUCAUCAUCACACUUUCAACAAAAAUAUUCAAAACCAAACACCAUACAACAUGGAUCAUAAGACAAAUACGACACUGCUUUUCUCGCUCUUGUUUUUCAUUACACACCUCAGCAACGCGUUAUCAAAAGAUCUAUGUAACGAAAACGACAAAAACACCCUCCUCAAGAUCAAGAAGUCCCUAAACAACCCUUACCACCUCGCCUCGUGGCACCCCGAAACCGACUGCUGCUCCUGGUACUGCCUCGAAUGCGGCGACGCCACCGUUAACCACCGCGUCAUCUCCCUAACCAUAUUCGCCGGUCAGAUAUCCGGUCAGAUCCCGCCUGAAGUCGGUGACUUACCGUAUCUUCAGAAGCUUGUCUUCCGCAAACUCACUAACCUCACCGGUCAGAUCCCACACAGCAUCACCAAGCUCAAGUAUCUCACGUUUCUAUGGCUUAGCUGGACGAACCUCACCGGCCCGGUUCCUGAUUUUCUUAGUCAGCUCGUGAAUCUUGACUACUUAAACCUUUCGUUCAAUGAGCUUUCUGGUUCAGUACCUAGCUCUCUCUCCCUGUUACCUAAACUUACGUACAUUGAUCUUAGUAGGAAUAAGCUUACAGGUGAAUAACUCUUUUAUGUAUAAAAAAACGAUUAUAAAAAAUAAACUGUUUAUUACAUUGUUAUUUUUCUAUUCACAACGUUUUAACUUUCACUUAGGUACAAUACCAGAGUCAUUUGGAUCGUUUCCAGGAGAAGUUCCUUACCUUAUCUUAUCACACAACCAGCUCUCCGGUUCUAUACCCAAAUCACUAGGCAACCUUGAUUUUAACCGGAUAGAUUUCUCAAGGAACAAGCUCACAGGCGAUGCUUCGAUGUUGUUUGGAGCCAACAAAACGACGUUUUCCAUUGACUUAUCAAGAAACAUGUUCCAGUUUGAUCUGUCCAGAGUUGUGCUCCCUCAGUCACUUGGUGUACUGGAUUUGAACCACAAUGGGAUCACAGGGAGUAUUCCGGUUCAGUGGACUGAAUAUUCUCUCCAACUCUUAAACGUUAGCUAUAACAGACUGUGUGGACCCAUCCCCACUGGAGGCAGUCUUCAGAGAUUUGAUUCUUAUAUAUAUUUUCACAACAAGUGUUUGUGUGGUGCACCUCUUGAUAGUUGCAAGUAAUAAACCAAGCUUAUCUCUAGUUUUCCCAAAAAAAAAAAUGUAAUAUCAUCCAGAUUGAUUAAAUAAAACAUGUAUCACAACUUGUAUUUUGAUGAGUUCUUAGAACAUUUUUAAAGUGAAAAUGAAGGUAGAGCUUACCACAAAUAGAGGAAGAAUAAGGACGAAUACUUAUCCUCUAUUUUCACUUAUAAGAGCAUGAUUAAUGGAGAGUUCUUAGGGUGAGGUUCUUAGCGGAAUAUAAAAAACCGUUUCUUGUUCUUAGCGGAAUAUAAAAAACCGUUUCUUAACUUUUAACUAAAAAAACUAAGAACCUUAUUUAACAUCUAGAGCUUCCGUGUCCGAAAGGUGUUUUUAACUUCUAAAUAGAGAAAGAAUAAAGAAGAAAAGAAUGUAAAGAAUGAUUUAGGUGCUUAUCCUUGAGCCAAACCAUAUUGCUAUCCCAUCUGCAUAUGUUCUGUUUCUGAUAGUCCUAUAGAUGCUUUUCUAGUUUGAUAGGUGGAGAAGGAUCAGCUCCAUGCUUUUUCUCUCACGCCAGAUGUUAUUUCAUGUCAGAUGCUUUUCUAGUCAUAUUUUAGUUUCAUGAAAUACAUUUAGAUGCUAUUUUCUUUUUGGUGCAUCUCAUUUUUCAAAUCCUGUUUUAAAUUAUAUAAAUUUUCUCAUUUCGAAAAUAAAACUAUUUGUGGAAACUGUUUUAAAAUUGUAUCAAAAGCAAAUUUCAUAUAUUGAAGCUUAAAAGUGCUUCGUGUAAGAUUAUAAACCCAAACAUUUAUAUACAUAUGAAUUUUUUUUUUUUAAUCAGAAAAUAGAAGCCGUGGCUGAGAGAGUAGUAGUACUCAAGUGGCACAUGUUGACUGCCAGCAUGUUGGCACCAGCCAACCAUAUUCAACACCGACAUCUUAAUCACACGUAUUGACUGACUAUUAAGGUUUCUAUCAAAUCAAAUAUCUAAUCUCGAUAGUGUUUAUAUCAUCGUCACACUUUCAACAAAAAAAAUAUUCAAAACCAAACACCAUACAACAUGGAUCAUAAGACAAACACGACACUGCUUUUCUCGCUCUUGUUUUUCAUCACGUACCUCAUCACCAUCGCGACAUCGAAAGAUCUAUGUAACCAAAACGACAAAAACACCCUCCUUAAAAUCAAGAAGUCCCUAAACAACCCUUACCACCUCGCCUCGUGGCACCCCGAAACCGACUGCUGCUCCUGGUACUGCCUCGAAUGCGGCGACGCCACAGUUAACCACCGCGUCAUCUCCCUAACCAUAUUCGCCGGUCAGAUAUCCGGUCAGAUCCCGCCUGAAGUCGGUGACUUACCGUAUCUUCAGAGUCUUAUGUUCCACAGGAUCACUAACAUCACCGGUCAGAUCCCAUCCACCAUCACCAAGCUUAAGUAUCUCCGUUCUCUCAGGCUUAGCUGGUUGAACCUCACCGGCCCGGUUCCUGAGUUUCUGAGUCAGCUCAUGAAUCUUGAAUACUUAAGCCUUUCCUUCAAUCAGCUCUCUGGUUCCAUACCUAGCUCUCUCGCUUUGUUACCUAAACUUUCUUACGUUGAUCUUAGUAGGAAUAAGCUUACAGGUACAAUAAGUACUCUCUUUGAUUCUAUUAUUUCUUUGGUGUAACUUUGAUUAUAUUUAUUCAUUGAUUUAAAUAUGAUUUGUUUUGAACUUUUUAAAAUAUGAUUAUUAACUGUACUUUUUUUUCUUCAAAUAUAACUUUCAUGCUUAGGUACAAUACCAGAGUCAUUUGGAUCGUUUCCAGCAGAACUU